AUGACUGACCAAACUGUCAAUAGUGCAGCCGGCGGCAAUGGGCCUGAGCCUGAGCAGUAUGAUCCAUCCAAGGAUCCUAAGCGGAAGGCAAAGUCGGGAGACCCUGGGUGGAAGUAUGGGUAUUGGCAUGAUAUGAACAGGAGGGAUAGGAUACGAUGCACUUUUUGCGGGACAGAUGUGCAUGCUGGAAUAGCAAGGUUCAAGCGUCACCUAGCUGGGGCUAGUACUAAAGGGAAGAAGAAUUCUAUAAAAUGCAAGAAGGUGCCAGAGGCUGUUUCAAAGGAGAUGCUGGAUUUCAUGAAGGCCUACGCAAAGAAGCAUAAUAUGCCAGGGGAGUCUGAUAAAGAAGAUACAGCAACUGGUGAUGAAGAAGAGGAUGCAACAGCAACUCAAACUAGUAGUAGGACAACAGCAAAAAGGAAGGCCGAGUCUGUCCAAACUGAAUUACCGACACAAAAGGCUUCAAGAACAAUUGCCGGGAUGAUUAGGAAGACUCCGGAAGAAGUCAUUGAGCUAAGGCACUCGAAGAAUCCUUCUCAAGCCGCAUUGAACGCAGGUUGCUUCAAAAGGACCACCGAGGACAAGGAUAGAGUUGAUGAUCAUUGGGCAGCAUUUUUCUAUGCUAAUGCCAUUCCCUUCAAUGUUACCCGAUCAAGAGCCUUUGAGAUUGCAUUGGAGUCCACCGGGUAA
rnacentral:rRNA from 1 species